UGGGGAAUAUUGGCCAAUGGGCGAAAGCCUGAUCCAGCCAUGCCGCGUGUGUGAAGAAGGUCUUCGGAUUGUAAAGCACUUUAAGUUGGGAGGAAGGGCAGUAAGCGAAUACCUUGCUGUUUUGACGUUACCGACAGAAUAAGCACCGGCUAACUCUGUGCCAGCAGCCGCGGUAAUACAGAGGGUGCAAGCGUUAAUCGGAAUUACUGGGCGUAAAGCGCGCGUAGGUGGUUCGUUAAGUUGAAUGUGAAAGCCCCGGGCUCAACCUGGGAACUGCAUCCAAAACUGGCGAGCUAGAGUAGGGCAGAGGGUGGUGGAAUUUCCUGUGUAGCGGUGAAAUGCGUAGAUAUAGGAAGGAACACCAGUGGCGAAGGCGACCACCUGGGCUCAUACUGACACUGAGGUGCGAAAGCGUGGGGAGCAAACAGG
rnacentral:rRNA from 1 species